rnacentral:rRNA from 1 species
GGGGAGCGUCGUAUGGCCAGGGAAGCGGCGGAGUGAUCCAGCCGUGGAGGCCAUGCGAGUGAGAAUGCAGGCAUGAGUAGCGAAAGACGAGUGAGAAACUCGUCCGCCGAAUGACCAAGGGUUCCUGGGCCAGGUUAAUCCGCCCAGGGUGAGUCGGGACCUAAGGCGAGGCCGACAGGCGUAGUCGAUGGACAACGGGUUGAUAUUCCCGUACCCGUGUAUCCGCGCCAAAUAUCGAAUCAGUUGUGCUAAGUGCCCAAAAGCGGAUGGACCUCCUUCGGGAGGACGGAAGUGGCUGCGCACGACCCUGGCUGUAGUAGGUAAGCGAUGGGGUGACGCAGGAAGGUAGCUGGGCCAGGUGAUGGAAUACCUGGUGUAAGCCUGUAGGGCGUUGUGUAGGCAAAUCCGCACAGCAUAUGGCCUGAGAGGUGAUGCGUAGCCGAUUGAGGCGAAUUCAGUGAUCCUAUGCUGCCGAGAAAAGCCUCUAGUGAGUUGGUACACGGCCCGUACCCCAAACCGACACAGGUGGUCAGGUAGAGAAUACUAAGGCGAUCGAGAUAACUGUGGUUAAGGAACUCGGCAAAAUACCUCCGUAACUUCGGGAGAAGGAGGGCCCGGUCUGGUGAACGCCCUUGCGGUGGGAGCUGGGUUGGGUCGCAGAGACCAGUGAGAAGCGACUGUUUACUAAAAACACAGGUCCGUGCGAAGUCGUAAGACGAUGUAUACGGACUGACGCCUGCCCGGUGCCGGAAGGUUAAGAGGACCGGUUAGCGCCCUUGGGUGCGAAGCUGAGAAUUUAAGCCCCGGUAAACGGCGGUGGUAACUAUAACCAUCCUAAGGUAGCGAAAUUCCUUGUCGGGUAAGUUCCGACCUGCACGAAUGGCGUAACGACUUCUCAGCUGUCUCAACCACAGACUCGGCGAAAUUGCAGUACGAGUAAAGAUGCUCGUUACGCGCGGCAGGACGAAAAGACCCCGGGACCUUCACUAUAGCUUGGUAUUGGUGUUCGGUACGGUUUGUGUAGGAUAGGUGGGAGACUGUGAAGCGGGUACGCCAGUAUUCGUGGAGUCGUCGUUGAAAUACCACUCUGAUCGUAUUGGACCUCUAACCUCGGACCCUGAUCGGGUUCAGGGACAGUGCCUGGUGGGUAGUUUAACUGGGGCGGUUGCCUCCCAAAAUGUAACGGAGGCGCCCAAAGGUUCCCUCAGCCUGGUUGGCAAUCAGGUGUCGAGUGCAAGUGCACAAGGGAGCUUGACUGUGAGACCGACAGGUCGAGCAGGGACGAAAGUCGGGACUAGUGAUCCGGCACCGGCAAGUGGAAGCGGUGUCGCUCAACGGAUAAAAGGUACCCCGGGGAUAACAGGCUGAUCUUCCCCAAGAGUCCAUAUCGACGGGAUGGUUUGGCACCUCGAUGUCGGCUCGUCGCAUCCUGGGGCUGGAGUAGGUCCCAAGGGUUGGGCUGUUCGCCCAUUAAAGCGGCACGCGAGCUGGGUUUAGAACGUCGUGAGACAGUUCGGUCUCUAUCCGCCGCGCGCGUUAGAAACUUGAGGAAGGCUGUCCCUAGUACGAGAGGACCGGGACGGACGAACCUCUGGUGUGCCAGUUGUUCCGCCAGGAGCACGGCUGGUUGGCCACGUUCGGAAGGGAUAACCGCUGAAAGCAUCUAAGCGGGAAGCCUGUUCCAAGAUGAGGUUUCUCACCCCCUCGAGGGGGUAAGGCCCCCAACAGACCAUUGGGUUGAUAGGCCAGAACUGGAAGUCUGGUAACAGAUGUAGGUGACUGGUACUAAUAGGCCGAGGACUUACCAACAA